GCCAGGUGUGGUGGUGCAUACCUGUAAUCCCAGCAACUUGGGAGGCUGAGGCAGCAAGAUUACAAGUUCAAUGGGAAGGUGCUAAGCAACUCAAUGAGACCCUGUCUCUA
rnacentral:sRNA from 1 species